rnacentral:rRNA from 1 species
UACAGAGGAGCCAAGCGUUGUCCGGAUUGACUGGGCGUAAAGCGCACGCAGGCGGUUGCGCGCGUGGGGUGUGAAAUCUGGCCGCUUAACGGCCAGGCGCCAUCCCAUACGGCGCGACUGGAGUGAUGCAGAGGUCGAUGGAAUUGCCGGUGUAGUGGUGAAAUGCGUAGAGAUCGGCAGAAACACCCAGGGGGAAACCAGUCGACUGGGCAUCUACUGACGCUGAGGUGCGAGAGCGUGGGGAGCGAACCGG